rnacentral:rRNA from 1 species
ACUAAAGCUAGCCCAACUAAAUAUAAACACAACUAAAAAAACCACAUAAACUAAAACAUUCAACAAUAAAAGUAUAGGAGAUAGAAAUUAUAGAAGGCGCUAUAGAGAAAGUACCGUAAGGGAACGAGUGAAAGAACAAAUUAAAAGUAUAAAACAGCAAAGAUUACACCUUUUACCUUUUGCAUAAUGAGUUAACUAGAAAAUCUUGGCAAAGAGAACUUAAGUCAAGUCCCCCGAAACCAGACGAGCUACUUAUGAGCAGCCAAUAAGAGCAAACUCGUCUAUGUAGCAAAAUAGUGAGAAGACUUAUAAGUAGAGGUGAAAAGCCUAUCGAGCCUGGUGAUAGCUGGUUGUCCAGAAAAAGAAUUUUAGUUCAACUUUAAUUUUACAGAGGAAAAAAAUACAAAAUUUUUAUGUAAAAUUAAAUGCUAGUCUAAAGAGGUACAGCCCUUUAGACAAAGGAUACAACCUUGUUUGGAGAGUAAGUAUAAUAAAAUACCAUAGUUGGCCUAAAAGCAGCCAUCAAUUAAGAAAGCGUUCAAGCUCAACAACAUUAAACAUGUUAAUUUAAUAAAUAUAAACGAACUCCCAAAACCCUAAACUGGACUAAUCUAUUACAACAUAGAAGCAUUACUGUUAAUAUGAGUAACAAGAAAACAUUUUCUCCCUGCAUAAGCCUAUAUCAGAUCGGAUAACCACUGAUAGUUAACAACAAAAUAAUAUAAAAUUAAAAUUAACCACUUAUUAAAUAAACUGUUAACCCAACACAGGAAUGCAAACAUCUAAGGGAAAGAUUAAAAGAAGCAGAAGGAACUCGGCAAACACAAACCCCGCCUGUUUACCAAAAACAUCACCUCUGGCAUAACCAGUAUCAGAGGCACUGCCUGCCCAGUGACGAAAGUUAAACGGCCGCGGUAUCCUGACCGUGCAAAGGUAGCAUAAUCAUUUGUUCUCUAAUUAAGGACUUGUAUGAACGGGCCACACGAGGGUUUAACUGUCUCCUACUUCCAAUCAGUGAAAUUGACCUCCCCGUGAAGAGGCGGGGAUACAAAAAUAAGACGAGAAGACCCUAUGGAGCUUUAAUUAUUUAAUUCAAGGAGAUUCAACAUCUGUUCCAACAGGAACAAAUAACCAAUACUCAAAACUGAAUUAAUAAUUUCGGUUGGGGUGACCUCGGAAAACAACAAAACCUCCGAGAAAUUAAGUCAAGACACACAAGUCAAAACCAAUAGGCUACAAUUGAUCCAAAUAAUUUUGAUCAACGGAACAAGUUACCCUAGGGAUAACAGCGCAAUCCUAUUUAAGAGUCCAUAUCGACAAUAGGGUUUACGACCUCGAUGUUGGAUCAGGACAUCCCAAUGGUGCAGCCGCUAUUAAUGGUUCGUUUGUUCAACGAUUAAAGUCCUACGUGAUCUGAGUUCAGACCGGAGUAAUCCAGGUCGGUUUCUAUCUAUUCUAUAUUCCUCCCAGUACGAAAGGACAAGAGGAAUGAAGCCAACUCCGCAAGAGAGCUUCAAAAUUAAUAGAUGAUAUCAUCUUAAUCUAAUAAUUUAUAAAAAUACAGCCCAAGAAAAGGGCCU